UUGAUGAAACUUUUCCCAUUCUGUGCAGUUUGAGACUUGGAGAGUCGUUAUGUCUAUGUAGAAGAAUGCACUUUCAACAGAGAAUGUUGAAAAAGGUCUUGGAGAAAACCUUUACAUUUAGAUUCUGGCAUUCAGUGAUACCAUGCAAGCUGGGCAUUGUGGUACUUUGUAGCAAGCAAGACCCUGUGUCCACACUCCCAACAAACAACGAAUCCUACUGCAGCACCCAGAGGCCGUGGUACGUGGUGAUGACCGUUCUGAGGCUCACAGUGGCUUACAGCAGAAACGGGGAAGGAAGGGCUGGUGCUGUAUUGCUGCCCCUUCAUUUUGCUGAGAAAACCUUUAAAGACAAUCUUGUAGCAGGGCAGUGGUGGGUGCAUGUCUUUAAUCCCAGCACUUGUGAGGCAGAGGCAGGCAGAUCUGUGAGUUUAAGGCCAGCCUGGUCUACAGAGUGAGUUCCAGGACAACCAGGGCUACAUACAGAGAAAUUGUCUUGAAAAAAAAAAAACAAA
rnacentral:lncRNA from 1 species